rnacentral:rRNA from 1 species
UACGAAGGGUGCAAACGUUGCUCGGAAUCAUUGGGCGUAAAGCGCACGUAGGCGGCCCCAUAAGUCGGAUGUGAAAUCCCACGGCUCAACCGUGGAAGUGCAUCCGAAACUGCGGGCUCGAGUAUGGAAGAGGGUCGCAGAAUUCCCGGUGUAGAGGUGAAAUUCGUAGAUAUCGGGAGGAAUACCAGUGGCGAAGGCGGCGACCUGGGCCAAUACUGACGCUGAGGUGGCGAAAGCGUGGGGAGCAAACAGG